AAGUUAAAAUCAGGAUCAAACGACGAUUUUUUAAAAAAACAACAACAGUAAUAUUUUGCAAAGUGUGCCCGCGCAGAAUUCUGGGUUACGGUACAUGCGCAGUGAUGCGUAGCAACGUGCGCACGCAGACGGAUACGCUAGCUAGCGACGUGACCGCAACUGAGAAAUUUUAAACACAAAAGCGGGUUUAAGAAGCGAAAAUUGAAAGAAGCAGCCGAACAACAAACACAUGAGCUUUCCGAAAAUAUUCACUUUCUUUAAAAACAAAGCAGCGAGCACGAAGAGCCGAAGGGAACACCUGCCGUUAGCAUCCGCUGCUAGCACAGGUGAACUAACAGUUAGCGUCCGCCGCCAGCACAGGUGAACUAACAGUUAGCGUCCGCCGCCAGCACAGGUGAACUAACAGUUAGCGUCCGCCGCCAGCACAGGUGAACUAACAGUUAGCGUCCGCCAACACCUGGAGAUCCAGUGGGACUCAGGAGUGAAGUCAACACAAGAACUCACCGAGAUGUUGACUGUGGACAACGUCUACAUCGCUGCAAGCUUUCCAGUGACUGUGGCUUCUGUGGCAGAACGACCUUUAUCCGAACUACAACUCACCUGAGGAGCUCAGUGGGAACCGUUCACCUGGACCCGCCACACCCAUAAUAUGUGACCUGAUCUGUCUCUUGGGGUGUAGCUGUGCCGGGGAACUCGCAGUACAGUUCGCAGCUUGUCACAGAAAAGGUCACAGAGGCUGUCGGCAUGCGAAUCGCUUAUUUUAUUUGGAGGCGUCAUCUGGAUACAGACACGCUGCUCUGACGACCCCUCCGUCCUUGUUACCUCAGACAAAUUUAUAACUGCCAGCUGUUGGGGAAGGAUGAGGAGGAGGAAGGGAAGUAAUGGAGGAGGGGAGCAG